AUCGCUUCUUGGCCUUUUGGCUAAGAUCAAGUGUAAAGUACUGCAUAUAGUUCUAAACACUGUAGGGUAUACUGAUUAAGAGAACGGAGUCGGGUUCAAAUCCAACCUGCUACUCAGUUCUUUCAUUUGUAAACAGGGAGCAGGAACAUCU
rnacentral:snRNA from 1 species